rnacentral:rRNA from 1 species
AGGACGAACGCUGGCGGCGCGCCUAAUACAUGCAAGUCGAGCGAGAACCAGGACUUCGGUCCUGGGGAGAGCGGCGAACGGGUGCGUAUCACGUGAGCAACCUGCCUCGGAGACCGGAAUAACUCGAGGAAACUCGGGCUAAUGCCGGAUGCCCUCGGUGGACCGCAUGGUCCGGCGAGGAAAUGGAUUCCGCUCCGAGAUGGGCUCGCGGCCUAUCAGCUUGUUGGUGGGGUAACGGCCUACCAAGGCAACGACGGGUAGCUGGUCUGAGAGGACGAUCAGCCACACUGGGACUGAGACACGGCCCAGACUCCUACGGGAGGCAGCAGUAGGGAAUCUUGCGCAAUGGGGGAAACCCUGACGCAGCGACGCCGCGUGCGGGAUGAAGGCCUUCGGGUCGUAAACCGCUUUCAGCAGGGACGAAAUUGACGGUACCUGCAGAAGAAGGCCCGGCCAACUACGUGCCAGCAGCCGC